UUUAAGGCGAGUUUCACUAUACGCGUACGCGUGUCCGUUUUACAAUCAUAGUUUAAACCUCGGUUGUCGAUUUUACCGGCCGAAUUCGGCGGUUUAACUAAUUGUACAGACGUUGUCUGAUAUAAAUUCAAAAUUGAGACGGUGGCUGCGGCGCUUUUCAGUAGGUAUAUCCCAAACUAGUCGCGAUGUGUAAAACCUAUGUUUAAAUUAUAAUAAUCUAUCUAUGUAUAAAAAUGAAUGUGUAUAAUAUAUUAAUAUAUUAUCGGUAGUAACAUUGAAAUACGGAGAACCGCGAUUAUAAAGAACUUUUGCAUGACAAUUUACAAAAUAGUCUACUUAGACGUCAAUAGUUUGCAAAAUCCUGCUAAAGAGAAAAAGUAUAGAACGACUUAAAGUACAUAAGCUGUGCGCUCUGUGUUUGCACGAAUCAAAACAUUCGAGUGAAAGUUCAAAAGCUCUGAAUAAAUUAUUUGAUGGAAUCUUCAGCCUUCCUCUAGACAUAAAUAUUGUCCAACUCAUUGUGUCUAUGUCGUGUGUGACUAUUAAAUGGGGAAAUUUGUCAGAAAACCUAUUUGCUAUAAUAUAACCAGUUACAUAUUGUGCACAAUGCUCCUCAAUGCUAUCAUAUGGUUCUUCAAUAUCUACCUAAAAUACAUAUUAUGUUAAAGUACGGUGUUGAUUGAUGUGUUAAGCAAUCAUUCACUUCCAAUAAAUUUGUUUCAAUGCUGCAAUUGCUCCGAAUUUGUGUUGCUAAUGAACACUACAUUUGAAUUAUUGUUAAUAUGAACCAUCUUAAGCCAAAGGGAUAAAAAAUGUAAUACUUAAUAAUUAUAUACUUUAUAAGUAUAAUAUCAAAUGAUGGAAAUGUAACAAACGAAAGCUUGAAGCUUAAAGUACAAUUUAUUAGAAUAAUAUAUAAAUGGAGAAAAUAUUUAAUAUAACUUCAUAAAUAACAUUACUCACGUCAAGCAUUUGGAGCUACUACCAUCGGAAUCAGAACAUAAUUGAAACAGCAGUUGAUAUUUCCUCAAACUUAAUAUAUUGAUAUGAGUCUAAUAAAACAUUAUUUGAAAUCUAAGAUUAUGUGUAAGCAUACUGUUAAAAUUUUUUUUGUCUUAGUUAUUAAUUUGAUAUUCAUCUUAAAUAUUUGUGAUAUUUUCUAUGUGAAUAUUAUGUAAUUGUAGAUUAAACACAAUGUAACUCAAAAAAUGAU